UACACAUGCAAGUCGAACGGUAACAGGAACACUUGCUCUUCCCUGACGAGUGGCUGACGGGUGAGUAAUGUCUGGGAAACUGCCUGAUGGAGGGGGAUAACUACUGGAAACGGUAGCUAAUACCGCAUAACGUCGCAAGACCAAAGAGGGGGACCUUCGGGCCUCUUGCCAUCGGAGGUGCCCAGAUGGGAUUAGCUAGUAGGUGGGGUAACGGCUCACCUAGGCGACGAUCCCUAGCUGGUCUGAGAGGAUGACCAGCCACACUGGAACUGAGACACGGUCCAGACUCCUACGGGAGGCAGCAGUGGGGAAUAUUGCACAAUGGGCGCAAGCCUGAUGCAGCCAUACCGCGUGUAUGAAGAAGGCCUUCGGGUUGUAAAGUACUUUCAGCGGGGAGGAAGGCGAUAAGGUUAAUAACCUUGUCGAUUGACGUUACCCGCAGAAGAAGCACCGGCUAACCCCGUGCCAGCAGCCGCGGUAAUACGGAGGGUGCAAGCGUUAAUCGGAAUUACUGGGCGUAAAGCGCACGCAGGCGGUCUGUCAAGUCGGAUGUGAAAUCCCCGGGCUCACCUGGGAACUGCAUUCGAAACUGGCAGGCUAGAGUCUUGUANAGGGGGGGUAGAAUUCCAGGUGUAACGGUGAAAAUGCGUAAAGAUCUUGGAGGAAUACCGGUGGGCGAAAGGCGGGCCCCCUGGGACAAAAGACUUGACCUUCAGG
rnacentral:rRNA from 1 species